rnacentral:lncRNA from 1 species
AGAGUAUAGCAGGCUUGCUAUGGGUUCUGGCGGCCUUAAGCCGACCUGAAUCCUAGCGCCGGUGACGGUCCAUUUUGGGGUCGUUACAGAUUGGUAUCAGAGCCCUAGGUUCACAUGAUCGGACCUAUAGAGACAGUGUUGGGCUCAGAUAGGUUAGACGUGGUCAAGCACAAUAGGAAAUCAUGUCCACGAGGAUAGGGUCUUGAGUCCUAUCUGCUAUGAUAUGCCAUGAGUAUUGUAUGUGUAUGAUAUGUGAUGUUUAUGUGCUAAGUGGUAUGUUAUAUGUUGUGUUUUCAGAAUAAAGAUGCGAGG